AUUGAACGCUGGCGGCGUGUUUAAGACAUGCAAGUCGCACGGGAUAAGACAUGUAGUAAUACUUGUUUUAUUUAGUGGCGCACGGGUGAGUAACACGUGAAUUACAUGCCCUAUAGUGGGGAAUAGCCCAGGGAAACUUGGAUUAAUACCCCAUGGUAUCGAAAGAUUAAAGGUGGCCGCAAGGCUGUCGCUAUAGGAUUGGUUCGCGCCCUAUCAGCUUGUUGGUGAGGUAACGGCUCACCAAGGCAAUGACGGGUACCUGGUCUGAGAGGACGAUCAGGCACACUGGAACUUGGACACGGUCCAGACACCUACGGGUGGCAGCAGUCGAGAAUAAUUCACAACGGGGGCGACCCUGAUGGUGCAACGCCGCGUGGAGGAUGACGGUCUUCGGAUUGUAAACUCCUGUCAUCUGGGAGAAAGACCGGACGGUAAAUAGCCGGCAGGGUUGAUAGUACCAGAAGAGGAAGGGACGGCUAACUUCGUGCCAGCCGCCGCGGUAA
rnacentral:rRNA from 1 species